GUCACAGACAAGUGACCGGCUGGGCUGUCCGCCAUUUCCUUGGAGCUGCGUGAGUCGGCUCGGUUGGGGAAAGGAAACCGGAAAGCGGGCGGCGAGGUUUGGCCUGCGGUGCUGUGAGCCUGAAGGAGCUGUCAGGCGCCUCCAGCUUUUGCGCGGCCCCCAGAGCGCUUCACUAGACCUCUGUCCUUGUUGGUCCGGGCGCUUUAACCACGGUGAGCUCGCUCCUGCUGGAAACUCACGAACCCGGGUUGUCCUCAACUCCUCAGAAGAGAGGGCUGCGUAGCCAGGGGUUUAUUUUCGCUUCUCAGAAAACCAGUGGAGUGAAGUACUAAAGGAUCGGAUACUGCAAAGUUGAGCACGUGGUACAAGUAACUUUAAACGUUUGCAGCUCUCCGCCCAUCCACAUGAAGGUGCAGCCCCUGAACCAGACGGCACUGCAAGUGUCCUGGAGCCAGCCAGAGACCAUCUACCACCCCCCUAUUAUGAACUACAUGAUCUCUUACAGCUGGACGAAGAACGAGGAUGAGAAGGAGAAGACAUUCACAAAGGACAGCGACAAAGAUCUGAAUUUCUAGGGGUGGCUAUCUUCUCUGGGGACACACAAAAUUCAUUUUCUUCAUUCUUCAACACGUCAAGAGUGCUGACUUAGUGGCAGCAAAGCUGUUCUCUACCUUACGGUCACUUGGGCGCCG